UACGUAGGGUGCAAGCGUUGUCCGGAAUUAUUGGGCGUAAAGAGCUCGUAGGCGGUGUGUCGCGUCGGCCGUGAAAACCUGGGGCUUAACUCUGGGCGUGCGGUCGAUACGGGCAUCACUAGAGUUCGGCAGGGGAGACUGGAAUUCCUGGUGUAGCGGUGAAAUGCGCAGAUAUCAGGAGGAACACCGAUGGCGAAGGCAGGUCUCUGGGCCAUUACUGACACUGAGAAGCGAAAGCAUGGGGAGCGAACAGG
rnacentral:rRNA from 1 species